AGGAAGUCGGGUCGACUCCUCUGAAAGAACAGGAAGUGUUCUGAGCCACUGAACUCUUCUCCAGCUCCAAGUCCCACUUUUAAAAAUAUUUUCUUUGUUUGUUGGGUUUUGGUUCUGUGAGUAUUUUUGGUGUUUUCUUUUUGUUUUGUUUUUGAGACAGGGUCUAACUCUGCAGCCCUGGCUGGCCUGAAAUUUACUAUGAAGACCAAACUGGCCUCAAAUUCAUGAGGAUUCAUCUACGUCUGCCUCUCAAGUGCUGGGAUCGAAGGAAUUUGAAUGUAAAUAUAAAUACCUCCCCACACCCCAUGAGGUUUUCUUUGGAAGAUAUAAGAGGUUUGUGUUCAUUUAAAAACUGGAUUCCUUCUGAAUUAUGCUGAAUGAGAACUCUUCUAUGAAGUUAGUAAAAUGUUUUAAUCUUUUUUCACAUGGAAAUUUUGUUUUAGUAUGUGAUUUGGGGACAUCAAAGCUCUUAAAUACAAAAGGUCUUAACAGUGCGCUGUGGGAGAAUGAGAAAUGUGCAAAGCUGUCUCCUGGGGACACAUGCCACCUUGUGGAUGUGUCCCCAGGAGAAUCAUCCCAAGUUGGAAGUGAGAAAUAAGACUCAUGUGUUUAAGUCCUGAUGUUCUGCAGCACCCUACUCAUAGGACCUUUCCUAUCCAGGCUGGCCCGGUCUUCAGUCUUCUCUUCAGCCUUCGUUGGGUUGUUGUCUUUCCCAACAGAGUCAUCUGAUCUUAGCUGUGGCUCACUUAGUUCCUUGUCUUCUGGAAGCUCACCAUGAAUAACCAAGUCUUAACUUAUUAAUUACCAUAUUAAACAUCCCUUAUAAUGUGUGAUGUCUCCCUUUAGGAGAGAUGAUUUAUGUAGCUCUUGGCUUGGUUCAUUUCAUAAGAGUCCCUUUAUAAAGAAGUAUGUCAUGGUUUCCAAUGGGGGUAAAACUUAGAGAAACAAAUGAGAAUGUCUUUAUCUAAAGAAGCCAAACACUAGGGCCUGGAGCGAUGGCUCAGCAGUUAAGAGCACUGGCUGUUCUUCCAAAGGACAACUGUCCAGUUCCCAGCAUACACAUGGCACCUCAUAACUGUCUAUACUUCCAGUUUGAGGGGAUUAUCACCCUCAGACAUACAUGCAGGCAGAAGACCAAUAUAUAAAAUAGAUAAAUUAUUAAAAUAAAGCUAAGAGCUUUUGUCACUUCUGACAGUUAAUUUUGUUGGUCCCACUUGUCCAUUUAAUCCAUCCCAGGAAUAAGCACAAUGAAUAAUACAUUUACUCUUUUUAGCAGGAUUGGCCCAAGUGGCAAAACCCCCUUUAAGAUUUAUUUUUAAGGUAGGUGUGUUGAUGGUGCACAACUUUAAUCCCAGUGCUAGUGAGGCAGAGGCAGGUGGUUCAUUUGAGGCCAGCAUGGUCUAGACAGUGAGUUUCUGAACAGCUAGGUCUACACAGAGAAACCCUGUCUUGAAACAAAUUUUAAAAGAUUUAUUUUAUUGGGGCAGGGGGAGUUGGCACACACAUGUCACUUUGGGCACUUAUGGAUGUCCCAUGUAUGUGGGUGCCAGCAGAGGCCAGAAGGCGGAGUUUGGAUCCCUUGAAGUGGAAGGUGUAUGCAGUUAGGAGCUGGCAGAUGUGGUGCUGGGAACAAAACUCAAAUCCUCUGAAAGAAGAGCCAGCACUCAGAAACACUGAGCCAUCUCUCCAGCACCAUGAAUAAGUCUUUGUAAUAGAAUGUUUCCCACUGCUGUGAUGGUGGCUUUUCUGGUAGAGGAAGACUUCAACUCAGUCUGAAAGCAUGCAAACUUAGCAUUGGGAUCUAUUUUAGCUUUAAGUAGGAAAAUUUGGAUAAAAUCUUAUCAGGUAUCAAAUGUUUCAUAUAGGAAUGGGGUAAAAGGGAAUUCUUGUUCUUCAAUCCAGUUUUUAAGAAUGGAAAUGUACAAACAGUGUAGGUGGAAAGUUGGACUUUACUUUUGUAGUGGAUUUGACUAGGGAUGGUUCCCAGAGCCCCAUAAAUUUGAAUGCUUGGGUCAUUAGGGAGUGGUGCUACUUGACAGGGAUUAGAGGGCGUGGCCUUGUUGGAGGAAGUGGUCAUUGGGGGCAGGCUUUGGGUUUCAAAUGUUCAAACUGGUACCAGUGUCUGCUGCCUGUAGACCCAGAUGUAGAACACUCAGCUCCUUCAGCACCACAUCUGCCUGCACGCUGCCAGGCUUCCCACCUUGAUAAUGGACUGAACCUCUGAACCUGUAAGCCAGUCCCCAUCAAAUGUUGUCCUUUAUAAACGUUGCCAUGGUCAUAGAGUCUCUUCAUAGCAACAGGAACUCUAACUGGCUAACUUUAUAUCAAUAUUUUUUAUUUUGACCUAAGAAAUUGCUUUUUAUUUUUAUUUUGCGAAAGGAUGUCACUGAAUUGAUCAGGCUGUCUUUCAACUCACUCUGUAGCCCAGGCUAACCCUGAGUCAGCCUCGGGAGUAGCUGGGAUUACAAGUGUGUACCACCUGAGGUUUUUUUUGUUUUGUUUUGUUUUGUUUUUAAGUUGUUCCCACUAUGUAACACAGGAAGUUCCGGAACCCUCUGGCUUUGAAUGUAUAAAGAUCUACCUGCCUCUGCCUCCUAAGUGCUGGGGUCAUAGCUUUUAUCUUUCACAAAUGUUUGGCUUUCUAGUUGUGUCCUCACCUUUUCUCUUUUGGAAGGAAAAUCCUCUAGGACAAGAGGAGUUUACGCUCAGAUUGUGAAAACAUUUUUUUCUUAAUAAAAUUACUAUAUAUUUUUUGAAAAUCUAUAUCUGAAACAUGGCAAAAAACCAUUAACAAGGAUGAGAUGUAUUGGUUUGGGAGAGCGACUGUCUAGCAUGGGUGAACCCCUCCCUAUAAUCCCUACUACCACAUAGACCAGGCAUGCAUGGUUCACUUUAGGCAUGCUGUUUGUAGUCCAGACGUAGUCCAGGAGUGCAGACGUAGGUAGAUUAGAAGUCAACAAAUUAGCUGGGCAGUGGUGGCGCACGCCUUUAAUCCCAGCACUUGGAAGACAGAGGCAGGUGGAUUUCUGAGUUCGAGGCCAGCCUGGUCUUACAGAGUGAGUUCCAGGACAGCCAGAGCUACACAGAGAAACCCUAUCUUGAGGAGAAAAAAAAAAAAAAGAAGAUAAAACAACG
ensembl:lincRNA